rnacentral:lncRNA from 1 species
GGGUAUUUGAGAUUGUGAAAUUAGGAGAGACAACAAGGUUAGAUGAGGGGUAGUCCUCCAUCAACGAUGAAGAUGACGCAGGAGCAUCCUCAAGGUUUGCUAAACAAGAGAAAUAGUUUCUUUUAGUGGUGACUAACUGUUUUUUGACAACAUGGUUUUUGGCUGCAGGUUUUGAAGAAACUUGGGUCCAAGAAGAGUCCUCUUUGAUAGGAACAGAGACCUGAGAAGUAGGAAUGAUUCUAUUCUGAGCCGGAAGAGCAAGUAAAUGUGUAAUCUCAUCUUUCCUUAUUGUGAUGACAUUUGUGUUAUCAGCUUCAAGAGGAACUGAACCUCCAACAACAUCCGC